UACAGAGGUCCCAAGCGUUGUUCGGAUUCAUUGGGCGUAAAGGGUGCGUAGGUGGCGCUGUAAGUCGGGUGUGAAAUUUCGGAGCUUAACUCCGAAACUGCAUUCGAUACUGCGGUGCUCGAGGACUGGAGAGGAGACUGGAAUUCAUGGUGUAGCAGUGAAAUGCGUAGAGAUCAUGAGGAAGACCAGUGGCGAAGGCGGGUCUCUGGACAGUUCCUGACACUGAGGCACGAAGGUCAGGGGAGCAAACGGG
rnacentral:rRNA from 1 species